rnacentral:misc_RNA from 1 species
CAACCCUCAAGCCCAGCUUGGUGUUGGGAGCUGUUUUAGUUAACACUCCCCAAAUUGAUUGGCGGUCACGUCGAGCUUCCAUAGCGUAGUAAUUUACACAUCGUUACUGGUAAUCGACGCGGCCACGCCGUUAAACCCCAACUUCUGAA